AUUGAACGCUGGCGGCAUGCUUUACACAUGCAAGUCGAACGGCAGCGCGGGCUUCGGCCUGGCGGCGAGUGGCGAACGGGUGAGUAAUACAUCGGAACGCGCCCAGUAGUGGGGGAUAGCUCGGCGAAAGCCGGAUUAAUACCGCAUACGACCUGAGGGUGAAAGCGGGGGAUCUUCGGACCUCGCGCUAUUGGAGCGGCCGAUGGCAGAUUAGCUAGUUGGUGGGGUAAAGGCCUACCAAGGCGACGAUCUGUAGCUGGUCUGAGAGGACGACCAGCCACACGGGGACUGAGACACGGCCCAGACUCCUACGGGAGGCAGCAGUGGGGAAUUUUGGACAAUGGGCGAAAGCCUGAUCCAGCAAUGCCGCGUGUGUGAUGAAGGCCUUCGGGUUGUAAAGCACUUUUGGCGGGAACGAAAAGGACUGUGCCAAUACCACGGUUCGAUGACGGUACCCGCAGAAUAAGCACCGGCUAACUACGUG
rnacentral:rRNA from 1 species